rnacentral:rRNA from 1 species
UACAGAGGGGGCAAGCGUUGUUCGGAAUUACUGGGCGUAAAGGGCGCGUAGGCGGCCUGUUAAGUCGAACGUGAAAUCCCUGGGCUCAACCCAGGAACUGCGUCCGAUACUGGCAGGCUUGAAUCCGGGAGAGGGAUGUGGAAUUCCAGGUGUAGCGGUGAAAUGCGUAGAUAUCUGGAGGAACACCGAUGGCGAAGGCAGCCCCCUGGGCUAACACUGACGCUCAUGCACGAAAGCGUGGGGAGCAAACAGG